AUCGGUGCAUUACUGUAUGUUAUGGAAACCUGUUACCAAGAAUUGUAUGAUAACAAUCCUUCAAAAGAAAAAGCAUGAAAAGCUGAAGCUAUUGGCUGAACCAUCGGUGCAUUACUAUAUAUUAUGAAAACCUGUUACCAAGAAUUGUAUGAUAACAAUCUUUCAAAAGAAAAAGCAUGAAAAGCUGAAGCUAUUGGCUGAACCAUCGGUGCAUUACUGUAUAUUAUGGAAACCUGUUACCAAGAAUUGUAUGAUAACAAUCCUUCAAAAGAAAAAGUAUGAAAAGCUGAAGCUAUUAACAGAGCAACACCUCUUCGAUGUUCGAUGAAGAGUCCUCCGAUCACAGGUUCUUUAUUCUUCCACCAUUUAACUCGCUACCAACCCAGUGCUGAACUGAGUCACUGUUUGCUCAUCUCAGGAUAUUCAUAUUUGGGCUGAAUGGUGGUGGCAAUCAGUUCAACUUAGUUGUAAUAGUAUUUGUUUUCUCUCAUUGCAAACCAUAUUUUUGUUCAUCUUUUUCUCAAAAUGUGAAUUGGAUCAGAGCAUACCUACGAUGAGUUUGGAAAAAGUAAUUUACUUUGAAUGGUUUGCUUAGAAUGUGAAUUCUUCUUUGAGGCUGAUCUAGAUUUUGGUCCUAGAUCUAGAAUGAUCUAAUAGUUUGGCUCUUCUUUAUUGUUCCUCCAUUUCAUCUCUUUGACAGACUCCUCUUUUGAAUUUUCUGGCAAGUGGUGUGAGUAAUAUUCAGUCCAUAUUCUAUUGUUAGCUAAUCACAAUAUGGGCAGAUUAUUACUAAACUAUUUGUAUUUGGUAUGAUGCCGUUCUUCCAUUUUGUUUGUAAGACCAGUCACAAAUGGAGAAAUUGGCAUUCCAUCAGCAGCAUGUACUUCUGAACUAGUGGAAGAAGAUUGGCCAACCUCAAUUUCAAGAUGGAACCCACUUCCAUCAUCUGAAGUCAUUACACCUGAACCAAAGAUUGCAACAUCAAUGUCUGAACAAGCUUUCACAGGAAGAAGUUCCAAGCAAACCAAUCUUGCAUCUGAAUUGUAUAAAGACCAAUUAGGAAACAUGCUUCCAGGAAGAUCUUCAAUAUCAUACACGUCAUAGUCAUUAUCAAAAACUAUAAACUCAUCUGUUUCUUGAAGGGAGGUUGUGUAAAAAGCAGGGAGAGGAUAAUCAUUGGCAAUCUCAUCUUCAUUAAUUUUGAUAUAGAAUUUGUUUGAUACAGAGGCUGAUCUGUAGUUUUUCUUCUGCUUCAUAGAUUUCCAAUACUCUUCUUCCUGCAAGAGUCGUGCUAACUUUGCAUCUUCGUCUUCACCAUUUGGAUAAUCUACAAAAUCCAUCUGAUUCUUGUUUUCUUCAUCUCCAGUUCCUGAGCCAAUCCUUAAACUCCCAUUUGAGGGCAUUACUUGCAUAUGUGCAUGGUUUGCCUGCUUCUUAGCCUCAUCUCUAAGAGCAAUAAGAGCAGCUAUAUAUGCAAACAUCAUGUCUUUUGAUUUGGAUUUCAUGUCCAAACCAAUGAGUUGCUUACAAAUGAACUCAUCCUGAGAAAUAACAAAAUCCUUUAUAGAUGUAGUUCCAGAAAAGGAUUUGCUACCACUCAUAGACCGUGCCAUGCAUGUUUGAUCUUGCAAAAGUUGAAGCAAAUCUUUUGUUCUUCCUUAUUAGACUGCUUAUGUUUUUUUAUCUUCUUGUAAUCUUUUAAUCUUUUAUUUUCAUGUCCAAAUAGCUUUUGUUCUUCCUUAUUAGACUCCUUGUAUUUUUUGAUCUUUUUGUAAUCUUUUAUAUUCAUGUCCAAAUAACUUUUGUUCGUCCUAAUUAGACUGCAUUUUCUUUAGGAAUAACCUUUAAUAUUUUUCAUUAUAUGUAUGUGUUAUAUUUUAUAAUUUUAAAUUAAAUAUAUUCGUCUUAUUUUAACAAAAUUUAAUCAAAAAGUAAAUCCUGUGUGAGAACACAGACUGUUGGAUGCUCAUAAUACUUUUUGAUGAAAACAAAUUAAAUAUCUUGAUGACAUGUACUAGAACUGUUUCUUUUUAUUUUAUAUUAUUAAAUUUAAUGUAAAAUUAAAAUAUUUAAUUUAGAACGAACUCUUAUAUAAGAUAUUACUAAAAAAUAGAAAUUAUUUUUUAAUCAAAAUAUUCUUAAUACAGAAGGAAAUGAUAUUUGUUUUGGCUUUUUACAUUAUAAUAGUUUGCAGUUUGCUGGAAAAGUGUAUGAACAAUGACCUUUGAUUCUUUUUUUCUUAUAUAAUAAAGAAAUUUAAAUUAAAUUAUAUUUAUUUGGGAAUUAAAUUGAAUUUAGACCUUUGUAAUGUUUUGAAAUUAUUUUUUUCAAAAAAUUAUAAAAUAGUUAUAUUCUAAAGUAGUUAAAAAUAUAUAAUGUAUAAAACAUUAUUUUACUAAAGUUUUUAAAAUACUGAAGAAAAUAGGAACUUGUUACUUGAAGGAAAUGUCAAUUUUCUUAUUUGUAAUAUGUUUAAAUAUAGUAAUGAAAGAAGGUGAAAUAAAUACAAAUGGACAGAGCUAGUUUUAAGGCAAAAUAUUUUAGUCUGUAUCAGUUUAAAACAACAAUGACUAAACACGUCCAUAUUUAUCUAUUUGCGUUACUUUUAUUAUAUCUUUGAAAAGUUAUCAUGUAAAAACAAUAAGUUGGAAGACAAAUUUUAUUUAAAAAGAAGAAACAAAGUAAAGAAGAAAAUGGCUUUUGUUUUCAAUGAAUAUUGUUUUUGUUGAAAAUGGGUUUUGUUUGCCUCUUUUCUGAACCAAUGAGCUGCGAGCAUGAGAAAAAGCAAAAGGAAAUUAAUUAUCAUCUAUUCAAUUAGCACAUUUAAAUUGUUUUCCUCUAUAAUUUAUUACCAUCUCAUAGAAAAAAAAAAGAAAAAAAAAUCACAAAUUUAUUUUAUAAUAAAUGGCUGAAAUAUUUUGAACUACACAUUAAAGUUUACAGUGAUGUUUUAUAUAAUUUUUUAAAUUUAUUUUAUGAUAUAUGUAUUUUUUUAUAAUAAUAUUUCAUUAACAUUCCUUGUUUUAAAUUUUGACAUAAUAAACUAUUCAAAUUAUUUAGAAAUAUGAAUAAUAAUAAUAAUUUACAACGAUAUUCAUUGAUAUUUUGGACAACAAUGAAAUGACAUUUUGGAAAUUAUACAGUUACAAUGAAAAGUCUAUUGUUUUGCUGUAAGGUAAUUUUUAAAAUUAUAUCAUUUUAACUUGGGAUUUAAUAAAUUUUCUAAAAGAAAGCAACAUAUAUAAAUAUGAAAAUACAAGAUGAAAUGACAGCAAGUUGGUUUGUUUAUUGUUAUAUAUAGAAUGAUUUUUUGUGAAUUUUUUUUUUUAAAUUUUAGUGGAUUUUUUUCUUUUAAAUUUAAGUAAAUUGUUUUUGUGGUUUUAGAUACUUUACAUGAUAUUUGAAAAUUUGCAUGAUAGUGAAUUUUUAAUGUCGUAUUAAGAUGUUACAUUUUGGUACAUUAUAUUAAAUUGUAUGUUUCUUUUCUAUCUUGGUUGCAGGAUUAACAUACGAGUCACAAAGUUUCUCAAGCAAAUAUGUAAAUAUGUUUCAUGUUAAAUGUUCUUAAUAGCAUAACGCUGGUCAAAACACUCUUUGUAUAUGGAUUUUCUUCCGGUGGAGUAUUAGUUUUAUGAAACUUUUGUAAAUUUAUCUAAUAAUAAUAUGUCGUUAACAUUGUUUUUAACAUGAUAUACUUUUUUGUUUUUGUGGAAAUCUUUCUAUAAUGAGGC
rnacentral:lncRNA from 1 species